UACGUAGGGGGCAAGCGUUGUCCGGAAUCAUUGGGCGUAAAGCGCGUGUAGGCGGUCCGAUAAGUUCGCUGUGAAAGUCGGGGGCUUAACCCUCGGAUGCCGGUGAAUACUGUCGGGCUUGAGUACGGAAGAGGCGAGUGGAAUUCCUGGUGUAGCGGUGAAAUGCGCAGAUAUCAGGAGGAACACCAAUUGCGAAGGCAGCUCGCUGGGACGUUACUGACGCUGAGACGCGAAAAGCGUGGGGAGCAAACAGG
rnacentral:rRNA from 1 species